AGAAAUCUUUGCUACACCCAGUGGGAUCCCCAGGCAGAAUGCUUCAAUUACACCUUGUUAAAUAUCCUGGAAACAGUCGGACAAAGCACAGAAGCCUCUGUGGAGCAGCGUAGUCCAUUUCUGGUGAGAUGGCAUAAAAAUGUGGGAGGCUAGAGAGACUCACCAUCCUGGCCUAAGAAAUCAGAGCAUUUACUGGGUGGUUCUUCUCUCUUCAGUGAAGCCAGAAGUUGGAGGGAGUAGAAAGAAACACCUUCCUUACUCCACCCCACCAUCUUUGCCCCUCCAGAGGAGUGAGCAGCAGUUCAGAGCAAAUAUGGGGGCAGCUCCCACAGAAGAGUUCUCAUGUUUUAUUCCAUGACAUUAAAAACAUUAUAAACUUUA